AGCGAACGCUGGCGGCAGGCCUAACACAUGCAAGUCGAACGAAGUAUUCGGACUUAGUGGCGGACGGGUGAGUAACACGUGGGAACGUACCUUUUGGUGCGGAACAACUCAGGGAAACUUGAGCUAAUACCGAAUGUGCUCUUAGGGGGAAAGAUUUAUCGCCAUUAGAGCGGCCCGCGUUAGAUUAGCUAGUUGGUGGGGUAAAGGCCCACCAAGGCUACGAUCUAUAGCUGGUCUGAGAGGAUGAUCAGCCACACUGGGACGGAGACACGGCCCAGACUUCUACGGGAGGCAGCAGUGGGGAAUCUUGCGCAAUGGGCGAAAGCCUGACGCAGCCAUGCCGCGUGAAUGAUGAAGGUCUUAGGAUUGUAAAAUUCUUUCAGUAGGGACGAUAAUGACGGUACCUACAGAAGAAGCCCCGGCUAACUUCGUGCCAGCCGCCGCAGUAAUAC
rnacentral:rRNA from 1 species